CAGCGAAGUCCUGUAGGACAAGGGGGCAUGCACAGGAGCAGAGGAGCCACACGUGAUGUGUGUGGCUGCCGUUCCCUGCCGCCCCAUUCACAUAAUCUUCUCCAUGCCCCUGGGGAGCCAUGCUGUGGGAUGUGCAGGAAACUCAGCAUGCUGUGAGUAGAGGCAGGGUUGUUAGUCAGUGACUGAGUGAGCGGGGCACUAACCAUCUGGAGAGGCCUCACUUUCCACUGAAACCAGAAUGCGCUUGUACACAGAAAGAAGGCAAUGACAUUUGAAGAGACACAAAUGACUGAGGAGCCCUGUUGUAUCCUCUCUAAUUGGAGUUACUUCCCUGUGCUAACCGACCCCUGUGUUGAGAUGACAUGAAAGGAAAGGGCAGGACACUAUGGCCACAGUGCCCUGAGGGUGCCCAAUCUCGUCUCAGAAGCUAAGCAGGGCCUGGCCUCAUUAGUACUUGUAUGGAACAAGGAAAGGGGAAGAGAGAGCAGCCUAUAGCUCCUGUCCUUUCAGUCCUUCCUUAGUGUCCAUGAUCCCAAGGUAGAGAGUGUUGCUGGAGUGUGUGGGUGUCAGGAAGUGAGAUAGAAAGAGCUGAGCUAGUUUUGUGCAGCGUAUCUACUGGUUUAGCAAGAAUGAAAUACAUACACAUGGAUGAGCUAUGGAAUGUGAAUUGUGUAAUUGUGUUGAUUCUACAUAUGAGGUCAAUGCUAAUAUUUUCAUUUAUACCUUGCGUCCUACAAUAUAAAAACAAAUGGUAAAAAGUCACGAUAAUUUAAAUUUAUUUUUUAUUUUAUUUUAUCUUAUUUUUUUUAGAUGGAGUCUCGCUCUGUCACCCAGGCUGGAGUGCAAUGGCAUAAUCUUGUCUCACUGCAACCUCUGCCUCCCACGUUCAAGCCAUUCUCCUGCCUCAGUCUCCCGAGUAGCUGGGAUGACAGUCACCCGCCACCACGCCCAGCUAAUUUUUUGUAUUUUUAGGAGAGAUGGGGUUUCACUAUGUUGUCCAGGCUGGUCUCGAACUCCUGACCUAAUGAUCCGCCCACCUCAGCCUCUCAAAGUGCUGGGAUUACAUGCGUGAGCCAUCGCACCCAGCCUUAAAUUUGUAUUUUAACUUAGCAUGACAUUAGAUAGCAAAUAAAAAUACCAUGACAAGUCAAGUGAGAGAGAACACAGAAGAAAGGAAAACGCCGUAUCUUUGAGCCCCUUCAAUGACGCUUCUUCCUGCUCUUUGAACAGAAGCGCUGCGUUUUCAUUUUGCCCUGGGCCUCAUGUUACGUAGCUGGUCCUGGUGUUAGGUACCCGGACGCACCACAAACGAAACAGAUUCGUUCCCCGCAGAGCUUAUUAGUCUAGUGAGAGAAACAUAAUUUGAAUAGUCCCAGAAAUACAUCAUUAUAAGAUAAGUCUAUGAAAGAAGCGUAGAGCAUUCCUAAUCUUGUCUCUGAACAGGGCAGACUUCUUGGAGGAAGUGAAAUUUGAACUGCGAUGUGAAGAAUGAGCAGGAGUUAGUGAGGUGAAGAAGAGAGAAGGAGUGUUGCAAACACAGGUCAGUCUGUGCAAAGGCCCUGAGACACAAGGAGCCUAGAACCACGGCUCGAAGACAACCAUCUGGCUGGGGCAUGGCUCGUCUUACAGAUCACAUUAAGGAACAAAUAAUUAUGUUAAGAGUUAUGGGCUGCCAUUAAGGAUUUGGAUAAGAGAGUCUUACAAUCACAUCUGUGUUUUCUAAAGGCCUGACACUGAUUGGUACAUGGAGUACAGCCUGAAGGGAACAAGACUUGUUAGAAAGGAAGCUAUUGACUGGGUGUGGUGGCUCGUGCCUAUAAUCCCAGCACUUUGGGAGGCUGAGGUGGGCAGAUUACUUGAGGCCAGGAGUUCGAGAUCAGCCUGGCCAACACGGUGAAACCCCGUCUCUACUAAAAAUACAAAAAUUAGCAGGUUGUGGUGGUGAGCACCUAUAAUCCCAGCUGCUUGGGAGGCUGAGGCAGGACAAUUGCUUGAACCUGGGAGGCUGAGGUUGCAGUGAGCCCAGACUGCGCCACUGCACUCCAGCCUGGGUGACAGAGACUUCCUUUCCAAAAUAAAAAAAAAAAAAAAGAAAGAAGAAAGAAAGAAAGGAGGCUAUUGCAGUAAUGCAAGUGAGAGACCAUGGUGGCUUAGGCAAUGGUGGAGAUGGAGGAAUUUGGGGGAAUUGAUUGGGUUCAAGAAAUAGGCAGGAGGAAACACGAUGGAUUGGGUGGGAGUAGGGAAACAGAUGAGAAGAGGUAUCAGGAAAGCUGCCUAGGUUUCUGGUCUGUGCCACUGUGUGGAUGAUGAGAGAAUGUGUCAGUGGUGGAGGCCAAGGUCUGAAAGUGGAGUGGGGAAGAGUGAGAGAGAAAAUUGUAAGUUUACCUUUAUGUUCAGCUGAGGUCAUUUUGAAACAUACAAGCAGCAGUAUGAAGAAUUCCAUUGAUAUAUUUGUCCGGAGCCCAGAGUGAGGUUUAAAUAAGAAGAAAUAAACUCGCUAGUAAAAAUUGCAGACACACAAAAGGCUUGAACAGGCACUUCACAAAAUAGAUUAUCCAAAUGACCAAUAAAUACAUAAGUACUCAACAUCAUUAGCCAUUAGAAAAAUGCAAGUUAAAACCACAAUGAGAUACCAUUUCACACUAGAAUGAAUAAAAUAUUAAAAGACUGACAAUGCUAAAUAUUCCCAGGAUGCAGAACAACCAAAACCCUCAUAUAUUAUGGGGGACAUGGAAAAUUGUACAACUCCUUUGGAAAACAGGUAGUUUCUACAGAAUUUCAAUAUAUACAUACCAUACAACUCAGCCAUUGCAUUCCUAUUUACCCAACAGAUAUAAAAUCAUUUGUCUACUGAAAAAUUUGCAAAAUAAUGUUCAUUGCGGCUGUAGCCAUUAUAACCCUCAAACGGAAACAACCCAAUGUGCAUGGAUUGUGAAUAGAUGACAAAUGGUGGUCCAUCUAUACAAUGGAAUAUUGCUCUUCAACAGAAACAAACUACAGGUCCAUGUAACAACAUGAUGAUUGAAAGAAGUCAGAUGUAAAAAAGUACAUAUGUAUGAUGCAAUUUAUACGAAACUCUAGGCAAAACUAAUCCUUAGUGAUGAAAUCAGAUCUGAGGUUGCCUGGGGCAGAGAUGGGGGUAGCUGACUGCAAGGAGGUGUGGGGAGGGUUGUGAAUUUUGGGGAGUGAUGGAGCUGCUCUGUAUCUCAAUUGUGAUGUGGUUACACAACUGUAUGCAUUUGUCAAAACUCACAGAACUACACUCUAAAACAUAUAAAUUUUACUGCAU
rnacentral:lncRNA from 1 species